ensembl:lncRNA TPTE2-AS1 TPTE2 antisense RNA 1
GGCCCGCAGCAGCGGAACUUACAGGAGAUCAGACAGAAGCGGAAGUGGUUUCGUGCCCUUCAAGUUAGAUUAUCUAGAUACUCAUCUUUCCCCUCCAUGAAAAAUGACUCAUUCUUAGUACAUUUAUGUGUAAAAUUGCUUUGGAUUUUAAGUGCAUGGAAGACCAGGAUCAUGUCACACUAAUGUGUAUUGCACAGCAUGUGACAUAGAACUGAGUUGAAACAGUGCUUAGCACAUAAUUUUUGGAGAUGACAGAGAUAUGACCAGGCAGAACUGUCCUCAGGACACUUUCUAAAGUCCAGCACAGCCUUGCCUUGGGGCCUUCAGCUUAGGCACGGAAUCUUCUUUGGCCUGGAAUAGCCGUCCCAAAGACUGUCCCAUGAUUGGUUCCUUCACACCAUCUGCUUUAGCUCAGCAGGGCUUUCUCAGGAGUACAUCGCAUCUAGCCAAGCCGACCUUCCCGCUCUGUCAUGUCGGGCCGUUUCCUUGCCUUCUUGCACACAGCACUAUCUGAAAUAAUCUCCUUCCAGUCAUUCAGCACAUUCAUUGAGUGCCUGCUCGUAUGCCCUGUCUUAUGCACUUGGGAUAGAUCAAGGUACAAAUGCAACACCUUCUCUACCCUGGUGGAAUUUACAGGCCUUGUGAAUUACAUUGUUUCCUUUUUCAUCAUCCGCCUCUGGCUAAAAUGUAAGCUCUAGGGGAGCAGGGACCUCUGUCAGCCUUGUUCUCUACUUUUUCCCAAGAGCCUAGAACUGUGUCUGGUACAUCCUUCAUGGUCAAUCAAUAUUUGUGGAAUGAAUAAACAAAUGUUUAUAUUAACCAGGCACAAUGGCUGAGGGGAGAGGAUAGCUUGAUACCAGGAGUUCGAUACCAGCCUGAGCAACAUAGCAAGACCCCCGUCUCUAAAAAAUAAAAAUGUUUUAUAUUUUCUA